ACCCUAUCGGCCCUUUAACACA
rnacentral:tRNA from 1 species